GCUCUUUCUGGGACAGCAAGCUGCCCCCCUCACAUUUCUGUGCCAGCUGUAGGUGGCAGCUGGUAGAAUGUAAUGAAUGGCUAGCUUUUCAGCUUGGGGCAGGGAAGCAUCCUCCAUUAAUGAGAAAACACAGACUCCACAAUCAUCAAAAGGAUAUUGCUCCAUUUCAUCUCAGUUGUCUUUUUAUCAUUUCCCAGAACAGGUUACACCAGAUGUGAGCACUAUCACAUGUUAGCUGUUGGACCAUGGCACAUAAGAGACACUCAGUAAAUAUUAGCUAAACAGACAAUUGAAUGAAUGAAUGAAUGAAUCCCAUUGGUUGAGCAAAUAUUACAUAUCAGAUAUUUACAGGGACUUAAAAUUCUUUGUUUUUUAAGUUCUUACACCACCACUAUGGUAUAAUUAUUACUAUCUGUAGUUCUCUAGGGCUUGGUAUACUAAGCUGUAAUCCAAGGUAGUCUCUUAGUUUCCUUUCCACGUUAAGAAUCUGUGAUCUCGUUAAUGGCCUGCUGUGGGCCAUUCAGGGCCCUUUUCUCCUGGCAUCUCUGAUCAGGAGUCAAGAUUGUUAAGAGUCUUGGCUUCUGCUAAACUAGACUUUAGGUUAUUUUCCUCAAUCUUGCAGGUAGGUCAGCCUUCUGUGAGAGAUGAAAUAAUAUUCCUGGACCAGCAUUUUCAGUGACUCAGAGGUCAUUGGAAGGACAGACAGCAUUGCCCCAGAGCACAUUACCCAGAGUGGUUAUGACAGAGGCGAUUCACACAAGCAGAGCUGUGUACUAUAUGCACUCCUACCUGGUGCCAGCCCACACACAUGCUUGCUUUGCACUUACUCCAGCAAUCCAUUGAGCAUCUGCUAUAGUUUGGAUGUUUGACACCUCCGAACCUCAUGUUGAAAUCUGAUCCCCAGGGUGGCGAUGUUGGGAGGUGGGGCCUAGUGGGAGGUGUUUGGUUCAUGGGGGCGGAUCCCUCAUGAAUAACUUGGUGCCAUUCUCAUGGGAGUGAGUCCUCACCCUAUUAGCUCCCAUGACAGCUGUUUGUUAAAAAGAUCCUGGCACCUCCCCCACCCUCUUGCUUCUUCUUUUGCCAUGUGAUCUCUGCGGUCUCUGCACAUAAUGGUUCCCCUUCUCCUUCUGCUAUGAGUGGAAGCAGCCAGAAGCUUUCAUCAGAAGCAGACGCUGGUGCCAUACCUGCAGAACUGUCAGCCAAAUACUGUCAUGUCUGAAUGGUAGUCCUGAGAUUGCGGCAGCCCUCACAUGAUGAGCCAGAGGAGGAAGCCUCAUGUGAAAGAAAGCAGGACCCACAGCCAUAGUUGCACAGAUCUAUUCAAGCCACGCUGAUCACUGCGCUAACCUCUGGAUUUGUUUGGUUACAGCAAUAAAAAAAUGGGGACUCAGGAGUCCAAAUGACCUGCCUUUAAAAAGUCACUGGUAGCAAAGGGUGAAGCUGCUUUGAGACCGUGUCUUCCUGAUCCAGGUUUUGUAAUUGAUCAACUCAAUCCCUCGAUGCCCACCAAUCCCUACUGGACAUCAAGAGUGAGAGUCACAAGCAGAUGUCUCUCAAAUGGGAACUGCCUGUCACAUAUGGUUAGUUUGAUUUGUUCCAGGUUUUAAAAAUCAGAGAAUUUCACAGAAUUCUAGAUUUUUUACUUCUACUGAAAAACCAGAAAAUCUGGAAGCAACGACAUUAUAUUCUUUUGUGAAGUCAAUGGCCUGGAACCAAACAGCAGCUUCCUCCUUUAGAUGAGGAUUUGAUAAUAAAGUAGUGCAACUCUAAAGGGACCAGGAGUCCAGAGAGUUACAUACUGUGUGAGGCCAGACUUUCUUCAUAACCUCCAACCCAAACAACAUAUCACAACGGAUUGAAAGCAGGAGCAGAUAUUCAAAUCCGGCUGCCUCCCAUUAAGCUAGACAUUCAAGAGAUCUUCAGAAAUGUAAAACAAUGCCAGUCU